rnacentral:rRNA from 1 species
GAUGAACGCUGGCGGCGUGCCUAAUACAUGCAAGUCGAGCGAACGGACGAGAAGCUUGCUUCUCUGAUGUUAGCGGCGGACGGGUGAGUAACACGUGGAUAACCUACCUAUAAGACUGGGAUAACUUCGGGAAACCGGAGCUAAUACCGGAUAAUAUUUUGAACCGCAUGGUUCAAAAGUGAAAGACGGUCUUGCUGUCACUUAUAGAUGGAUCCGCGCUGCAUUAGCUAGUUGGUAAGGUAACGGCUUACCAAGGCAGCGAUGCAUAGCCGACCUGAGAGGGUGAUCGGCCACACUGGAACUGAGACACGGUCCAGACUCCUACGGGAGGCAGCAGUAGGGAAUCUUCCGCAAUGGGCGAAAGCCUGACGGAGCAACGCCGCGUGAGUGAUGAAGGUCUUCGGAUUGUAAAACUCUGUUAUUAGGGAAGAACAUAUGUGUAAGUAACUGUGCACAUCUUGACGGUACCUAAUCAGAAAGCCACGGCUAACUACGUG